AUUGAACGCUGGCGGCAUGCCUUACACAUGCAAGUCGAACGGCAGCACGGACUUCGGUCUGGUGGCGAGUGGCGAACGGGUGAGUAAUAUAUCGGAACAUACCUUGUAGUGGGGGAUAACUAUCCGAAAGGAUAGCUAAUACCGCAUACGCUCUAAGGAGGAAAGUGGGGGAUCGCAAGACCUCAGGCUAUAAGAGUGGCCGAUAUCUGAUUAGCUAGUUGGUGAGGUAAAGGCUCACCAAGGCAACGAUCAGUAGCUGGUCUGAGAGGACGACCAGCCACACUGGAACAGAGACACGGUCCAGACUCCUACGGGAGGCAGCAGUGGGGAAUUUUGGACAAUGGGGGCAACCCUGAUCCAGCAAUGCCGCGUGAGUGAAGAAGGCCUUCGGGUUGUAAAGCUCUUUUGUCAGGGAAGAAACGGUUGUGGCUAAUAUCCAUGGCUAAUGACGGUACCUGAAGAAUAAGCACCGGCUAACUACGUGCCAGCAGCCGCCGUAAUAC
rnacentral:rRNA from 1 species